rnacentral:rRNA from 1 species
GCCUGAUGCAGCGACGCCGCGUGAGGGAUGACGGCCUUCGGGUUGUAAACCUCUUUCAGUAGGGAAGAAGCCGUAAGGUGACGGUACCUGCAGAAAAAGCGCCGGCUAACUACGUGCCAGCAGCCGCGGUAAUACGUAGGGCGCAAGCGUUAUCCGGAAUUAUUGGGCGUAAAGAGCUCGUAGGCGGUUUGUCGCGUCUGCUGUGAAAGACCGGGGCUCAACUCCGGUUCUGCAGUGGGUACGGGCAGACUAGAGUGCAGUAGGGGAGACUGGAAUUCCUGGUGUAGCGGUGAAAUGCGCAGAUAUCAGGAGGAACACCGAUGGCGAAGGCAGGUCUCUGGGCUGUAACUGACGCUGAGGAGCGAAAGCAUGGGGAGCGAACAGGAUUAGAUACCCUGGUAGUCCAUGCCGUAAACGUUGGGCACUAGGUGUGGGGGACAUUCCACGUUUUCCGCGCCGUAGCUAACGCAUUAAGUGCCCCGCCUGGGGAGUACGGCCGCAAGGCUAAAACUCAAAGGAAUUGACGGGGGCCCGCACAAGCGGCGGAGCAUGCGGAUUAAUUCGAUGCAACGCGAAGAACCUUACCAAGGCUUGACAUGAACCGGUAAUACCUGGAAACAGGUGCCCCGCUUG